CUCGUUCUCGAUCGGCUCUAUUUGCCUGCUCAAUCUCGAAGCAUUUGUGCACGAGCUCCGGAGUAUCCUAGUCCCCGCAAGGAGUAUGUAUUGGCGGGAAUUCGCGACGGUUUCCGUGUGGGUUUCGUUCCAGAGCGUGUGGUCCUUCGUCCGUCGCUCCGCAAUCUCAAGUCGGCAUCUCAUCUGUUCGACAAAUAUCUCUCGGCGUUAGUCGCUCACCGCCGGGUGGCUGGUCCUUACCUGUACCCCCCACU